rnacentral:lncRNA from 1 species
UUGGAUCAAAAGCGAUUUUAUGAUCAUCAUCGUAUCCCUCAAGAUGACUUUUGGAAUGAGAGACGCUCCUCAUCUCUGGACGUUCUUCGUCCGAACUUGCGGCAGCAACCCUCCUUCGGGAAAGUCCACCUGACAUUUCUUUGAAUUUUAUGCCUAAAUACAAGAAAUUUCUUGUUGUCUAUAUCAAAUAAUCAAGAAGAUGAGAGAGAUAUGCAAAACGUUGAAAGCAAAAGUAUGCAAUACAGGAGUUUCGCUAAAGAAAGAAACGUUCAAACAAAUGGGAAAACUUUUGAUUAAAAAUACCUUUUGCUUUUGUUUCCUCAGAACCUUGACGGCCAAUUAAUCCAACUUUUCGUUGGGAUGCAAAUUAUUAUAAAUUGGUAGGUUGAACCAGAAGUACCCAACUAAAUACCGAAUUUUUUGAAGAUACUGGGAAUAUUUCCACCAAAGAACUUUGGAAGACAACAAAGAAUUAAUAAAUACUUGAUAUUUGAGGAUUGUAUGUUCGCGCAGUUCUGCCCGUAAGUGGUAGCAGAAUUACGGUGGCUUAACAGAUGCUCCCGUAACCUACAGCUUAUAAAUUGAUCCUUAGCAUACGGCAACCCAAAAAUCGAGAAUUUUGGACUUUACUUAAAAAAUAAAAAGAUACGAGAAGAAUUCUUAUUGUAAAAAAAAUAAAAAUAUAAAUUGAAACCCUCAUUUUACUACAAGAAAAGAGACGGAUACCUUUUUAAGAAAAGCUUGGACUCCCCGAUAACCUAAACAGGAUAUUUAUGAGCUUGGUGUAAAUACUGAAUGGAUUACACUUUAAAAGUUCUAAGCUUUUCAUGUUCCCUAAUGAAAUGAAACGUAUACUGAAUGCGGGAGCACCUUUGUAUAGAAAUGUUCUUUCAUUAACGAUUGCAUGCUUUUUAAGUCGUAAAUUAGUAAUUAAAGUAUGAAUAUGCCGAUAGUGAUGUUAAAUGAUAUAAACUUUCAACCAUUGGUGCGAAUUAUUAAGAGAUAGAGAACAUCGAGAAAUUCAGUUUUAUUUUUAUCGUUUACGCGACGAUAUAUGAACUGUAUCACCAAAAAAUUUUUACGUUUUGGAGUAAAAAAUAAAUUCAGAGUUUGUAAAGAAGAUGAAAUGUAAAAACACAAUGUCACAGGCCUUCAUAAGCGUAACUCUGCCAUUAAUUAUUGAAGAAAAGAAGGGUUUCACCAAAAAUAUUCGUCGUAAAACAAAAAUUGUCGAGGUACAAAACAAACCAAAAAGGGAUUUUUAAGGUAACAAGAAGAUUUUGAGCUUUUCCAAAAUGCGAUUUUGAGAAAAUAAAAGUUGCUUUGGCCAUUCGUUGACGUCCUUAUACACGAUGUUUAUGGCUUCUCUCGUUUCAGAAUCACGCAUGACAACGUUUUCCCUCAUCUCGCCAAGCAAAUGCAAAACGAAAUUUGGAUCUUUACAUCCUUGCCAUACAGAGAGGAUUGCUUGGUUGUAUACCGGGGCGGAGCAACCGCGAACAUAUGCAUUAGGACUGUGCUUUUUUACAGCUUGAAAGAAGGACAGUGCAAGCAUAGGAUUCAAAAAAUUCAAUCGGGCUAUCAGCAUAGUGUCUCGGAGAGCAUGCGACAAGGGAAAAUCUCUGCGGAAAUCACUGAGUUGUUGGUAAAUUUCCGAUUUAAAGAGUUGUGCCAAGGCGCUGUCAGUUUCGCAGGUAAGAAGGUGGUUACGAUAAACUGUAAGAGGAGAGGAAUGGGUAUGCAAAGAAUCCAGUUUUUUUUUUAAAUUAUGGAAAAAGACAUCCGGAUGUUCAGGUGGAAUUGUCCCCAAAUGAGUUUGCUGUUUACGGGGGGAGUCAGGUGGGGAACUGGGAUCGUAAAUAUUGGAGGAGUUUUCUACUUGAUCACUUAAAGGAUAUUUUUGAAUGUAAUUUUCGAAAGAUUGUUUGACGCCAUGAGGCAAGGAAAAGCCUACAACGUCCGCGUUUCUUCGAAGGUGCAGGGGUUCGACGGCAUUAGGAUUGACGUGAAUUUUGUGACCAUCGAUAAAGUAGUCAAACAAGAGAUCCGGCGAAUCUGAAGGGAGAUUGUUUUUUGAGUAAUGAGAGGAAGUAGCGGUAGAACUGUGAGACGUGGAUUUGUGCAGCCGACGUUUAUAGAGUGAUAAGAGGGAAAGAGAGGAGGGAAAUGAUUUGAUGGAAAUUUUUAAAGUUCUACACACACGCAUUCUGCCAUAUUUGCCUUUGUUUUAAAAAAAAAGAGAAAAGCGGUGGAAAUUCCAUGAAAAAACAAGUUUGAGUGUGUAGCGAGGAAAUAGGGCAAUCUUUCGAAAAGCUCCAAGGAAAUCGAUACGAUGCUUUAAAAGGAAAUUGGGAGUGAAUAAGGAUUACAAAAGGAAGUGGCAGAUAGCGAGGAAGAAGGUGGAGAUCGAGAUGGGUUUAGUGAAAAAAGAAGGUUUGAAUUGUUGCAAUGUUGUCCCUAAAACAACGAGCUUGAAAGAUCAAUAACGUUUAUUUCGUUUAAGUAUGCUAUCUCUUUUUGCGAGGCUAUUAACCAUCGAGCGCGUUGCCCCUCCUUUGCCCUCUUUAGUGGUGAACAAAGAUUGAUGCAAAAGGGUGGAGGUGCAAAGGUGGUGUCUGUUUCGGUUGGCGGCAGAGUCGAAAGCCUUGUGCGCUGCACGGCCCGAUUUAGAGCCGGGUGGGUUGAAAACGCAUGCCAAGGAGCCACAACAAGCACCGAUCAUUCUGAUGGUUGUUACGAUGCACUGAUGCAAUGCGUUUCACCCAAAACCCACACCACCAACACCGCCUACCCUCAGACAGAGUAGAGCAGUGCAGUGCAGUGCAGUAGGCGUGAGAGGGAGAAGAGGUAGCCGAGAGACAGUAGAGCACAUGAUGAGUAAACGAAACAUUGAGAAUGAGUCUAACAUUGGAUUGUGAUGAAGAUUGAAUUGUAUUAUUUGGAAAAUGAAAUUUCAUUUGUAACAGCAGUGAUGAAAUAGAGUAGAGAAGAAAACAGUAAGAGCCUUGCACCUAAUAGCCUUGCACCUAAUAGCCUUGUC